AUACAGAGGUCCCAAGCGUUGUUCGGAUUUACUGGGCGUAAAGGGUGCGUAGGUGGUGAGGUAAGUUUGGUGUGAAAUCUCCGAGCCUAACUCGGAAACUGCAUUAAAUACUAUCUUGCUUGAGGGUCGGAGGGGAGACUGGAAUUCUCGGUGUAGCAGUGAAAUGCGUAGAUAUCGAGAGGAACACCAGUGGCGAAAGCGAGUCUCUGGACGACACCUGACACUGAGGCACGAAAGCUAGGGGAUCAAACAGGAUUAGAUACCCUGGUAGUCCUAGCUGUAAACGGUGCACAUUUGCCGUGAGAGGAUUCGACCCCUUUCGUGGCGGAGCUAACGCGCUAAAUGUGCCGCCUGGGGAGUACGGUCGCAAGAUUAAA
rnacentral:rRNA from 1 species